rnacentral:lncRNA from 1 species
CUUUGAUAUAACCCAUCAUGUGUCAUCUUGACUCGUCACACUCUUACAUAAAUAAAUAGCAAAAGAUAACCAUCACUCGAAAACCAUAGGUCGUCAACUACUGCCAGCUAUACUCAUAAGUUGACCUGAUAUUGCCAGCAACAGCAACAAUAUCUCUCCUUACUACUGUACAUCACAAAGGACUUGAUGCAACAGCAAAACCAAAAUUUAGAAAAAAUUGCGCAAAAAUUCCAUACCUUGAGAAAGUAGUUGGAGUAGUACGCAUAAACUGUAGUAGGCUUAGGAAGUUUGUGAUAUUGGCACGGCUCAAUCAGAUCAAAGGAAGACACCACCACCUCAUCACAAGGGCAAAGAUCACCCGAUUUGAUUGAACCAUGCCAACAUCGCACGCUCCCAGCCAACCCUUGCUCCUAGCCGAGCUGACCUUCUUCUUGCUCCUCUGCAGCCAAGCUCCCAACGCAAGCUCAAGAGAGAACCUGCUGGCUACUGGCAACGGAACAAGGCAAUAGCAAGGCAGCAAGCUGCUGAAUUAAUAGGCGCGCGGCGGCAACGACGACGAUACCAAUGGACGUAUACGUAAGCCGAGAAGAAAAAAUAAACUAAAGCAAAAUAUAACGAAAUGGUUGGGACGUCGAUGUCUCGCUCUCGCCGAGCCUCAUGAAGAAAAUGAAGAAACCACGCAUCGCACGGACGGAAAAUAUAAACACAAAUUGCAGCAGCAGGCCAAGCCAAAGGGCAAAGGCGUAAGGAAGAGAGGUAGGCAUGGCCCGACCAGCCAAUGACUUGC